rnacentral:rRNA from 1 species
AUGGGCACGGCCAGCCGCAUCUCCUCCACCAGGAACACCCGGUUCAUGCGCUGCUCCGCGUAGAGCGGCCACGCCAGCAUCGGCACCCCUGCCAUGACGGCUUCCAGCACUGAGUUCCAGCCGCAGUGCGUCACGAAGCCGCCCACCGCUCCGUGCGCCAGCACCUGCCGCUGCGGCGCCCAGGACAUGACCACCAGCCCCCUGUCCUUGGUCCGGUGCAGGAAGCCUUCCGGGAACAGCUCGUCGAUGUCGCCGUCAUCGUCGCCGUCGGCCGGCGGCCGGCGCUCGGCACCGGGCAGGGGCGGGCGCCGCACGACCCACAGGAACCGCUGCCCACUUGUUUCAAGGCCAGCAGCUAUCUCCUUGACCUGCUCCGCGCUGAACCGGCCCAUGCUGCCGAAGCAGAGGAACACCACGCUGGCCUCGGGCUGGCCAUCGAGCCAUGCGAGGCACUCGUGGCGCUUUGACGCCCCGGUCUCCUCGUCGUGCUUAAUCAGCGGCCCCACGCAGUACAGCGGCGGCGUCGGACGGCCGGGCGGAGUGCAGAGGCCGGCCACGAUGGCGUCGGCGGCGCGCGCCUCCAAGGAACGGCAGCCGUUCACGAGAACACCUCUGGAGUGGCACAGCCUUAGGCCCAAGUCAACGAAGUGCCUGUUGCUCAAGCUCUCGCGAUCGAGGGUGGCCCCGGCGAGGUGA